rnacentral:rRNA from 1 species
GAAACACGGACCAAGGAGUUCAACUGGAUUGCGAGUCGUAGAGAUUUUACAUUUCACGAAACUCGCAACGGCAUAGCGAAAGCAAACUGGUGCCAAAUAAAUAUAUUUUAUUAUAUGUUUAUUGCAGCACAGGCUGAUUAUGAAUAUGCAUAGAGCUUUUAUUUCUGUGGGCAUAAUUUCAAUUUUUUUUUUCUUCGGGAAAAAAAUAUUUGAAGUUUUAAUCAAGCUAAAGAGCACAUUAGUUGAGACCCGAAAGAUGUUGAACUUUGCCUGGACAUGGUGAAGCCAGGUGAAAACUUGGUGGAAGCUUGCGUUGUGCGGAACUGACGUGCAAGUCGUUGCCGCCUGAACUAGGUAAAGGGGCGAAAGACUCAUCGAACCAUCUAGUAGCUGGUUCCCUCCGAAGGUUCCCUUGGAUAGCUCGAAUUUAUUAUAUCCGGUACAAACAUACAUACUAACAUAUAUUUUCACGCCCGCACCAAAAAAAAUAUAUUAUAUUAUGUAUGCACACACACAAUUGAGAGAGAGUAACACAAGGGUAAAGCAAUGAGACGCGGUAUCUGUGGGUCUUCUCUAAAUGACCUCGGCCUUCUCUCAAACUUUAAAUCUGUGCGAUUAUAUUUGCUUGCUAAGAAUAGUGUAUAUCUUUUUAUACAUUAGCGAAGUAACAUAUUGUAUCAAAAAUUCGUAGUGGGCCAUUUCUGGUAAGCAGAACUGGCGAUGAGGGAUUCAGCCUGACGUUUUCAAGAUAAGCCGGGCUUAAUCAUAUCUGCUCCAACCUUCCGAUAAACGCGA